rnacentral:rRNA from 1 species
AUUGAACGCUGGCGGCAUGCCUAACAUAUGCAAGUCGCACGCGAGAGGGGGCAACCCUGAGUAGAGUGGCGGACGGGUGAGUAACGCGUAGGAAUCUACCUGGUAGUGGGGGACAACCCGGUGAAAACCGGGCUAAUACCGCAUACGAUCCACGGAUGAAAGCAGGGGACCGCAAGGCCUUGCGCUAUCAGAUGAGCCUGCGUCGGAUUAGCUAGUUGGUGGGGUAAAGGCCCACCAAGGCGACGAUCCGUAGCUGGUUUGAGAGAACGACCAGCAACACUGGGACUGAGAAACGGCCCAGACUCCUACGGGAGGCAGCAGUGGGGAAGAUUGGACAAUGGGGGCAACCCUGAUCCAGCAAUGCCGCGUGUGUGAAGAAGGCCUUCGGGUUGUAAAGCACUUUCGGUGGGGACAAACAAGGUGGAGCUAACAUCUCCGCCUCUGAUGGUACCCAAAGAAGAAGCACCGGCUAACUCUGUGCCAGCCGCCGCCGUAA